UGAGUAAGGCAGACGAUCGCUGCUGCUAUUACCGAAAGGAUGCAGGAGAGGAAAGUCCGGGCUUCAUAGGGCAGGAUGCCGGCUAACGGCCGGUGGAGGUGACUCCCAGGAAAGUGCAACAGAAAUGAAACCGCCACUUAUGGCAAGGGUGAAAUGGUAGUGUAAGAGACUACCGCUUUCAUGGUAACAUGAAAGGUCCGUGUAAACCCCAUCCGAAGCAAGACCGAGCAGAAAACAUUGGUUGCCCGCCAGUUUUCGGGUAGGUUGCUUGAGCCAGAUGGUAACAUCUGGUCUAGAUAGAUGAUCGUCCACGACAUAACCCGGCUUACAGCCUUGCUCAUUCA
rnacentral:RNase_P_RNA from 1 species